UACGGGGGGGGCAAGCGUUGUUCGGAAUUACUGGGCGUAAAGGGCGUGUAGGUGGCCCACUAAGUCAGACGUGAAAUCCCUCGGCUUAACCGGGGAACUGCGUCUGAUACUGGAUGGCUUGAGAUUGGGAGAGGGAUGCGGAAUUCCAGGUGUAGCGGUGAAAUGCGUAGAUAUCUGGAGGAAUACCGGUGGCGAAGGCGGCAUCCUGGACCGACAUUGACGCUGAACGGCGAAAGCUAGGGGAGCAAACGGG
rnacentral:rRNA from 1 species